GAUCAUGGCUCAGGAUGAACGCUAGCGACAGGCUUAACACAUGCAAGUCGAGGGGCAGCGCGGGAGUCAGCUUGCUGACUUCUGGCGGCGACCGGCGCACGGGUGAGUAACACGUAUGCAACCUGCCCGCCACAGGGGGAUAACCGGGAGAAAUCCCGACUAAUACCGCGUAGUCCCGGGGAAGGCAUCUUCCCCGGGGGAAAAGAGCGAUCCGGUGGCGGAUGGGCAUGCGGCGCAUUAG
rnacentral:rRNA from 1 species